rnacentral:rRNA from 1 species
UGAGAAACCUGUCUUCCUUCGAGGGGUAUAACCUUUGGAAACGGGGAUUAAUUACCUUAUGACAUGGCCGUUUGGCAUGAGCAGUCAUUAAAAGUAUUAGCGUUGUGAGAUGUUCUGUCGUUUAUUUAGGUAGAAGGUAGGUUAUUUGUUCUUCAAGGAGACGAUCAUUAUCCGGCUUAGAGAACUGAACGACCACACUAGAAUUGACACACGGUCCAGUUUCUUACGAUAGGCCGCAGUGGGGAAUAUUGCACAAUGGAGGAAAAUAUGACGCCAGCGACGCCGCGAGAGAGAAGAAGGCUUUCGUUUUGUAAAGCUUUUUCAUUGGUGAAGAUAAUGACGGUAGCCAAAGAGGAAGCCCCGUCUAUCUUCGCCCCAGCAGCCGCGAUAAUACGUAGGGGGCGAGCGUUUUCCGGAAUUAUUGGGUGUAAAGGGUACGUAGGCGGUUUUUUAAGUCAGCAGUUAAAGCGCGGGGCUCAACCCCGUAAAGCUGUUGAAACUGGAGAACUUGAGAGAUGGAGAGGAAAGUGGAAUUCCUAGUGUAGCGGUGAAAUGCGUAGAUUUUAGGAGGAACACCAGUAGCGAAGGCGGCUUUCUGGACUGUAACUGACAUUGAGGCACGAAAGCGUGGGGAGCAAACAGGAUUAGAUACCCUGGUAGUCCACGCCGUAAACGAUGAGUAAAAAAGGUCGGGGGUUACCCCCCUUCGGUGCCGCAGCUAACGCAUUAAUCCUCCGCCUGGG